GCCUGCAAAAUAUUUCAUGCUCAUAGUCAAUAAAAUAAACAAAUGAUAUGCUGGAUUAGUUGAUACGGAUGUGUGUUGGCACAUAUGAGACCAAAAAUUAGAAACAUAAUUUUUUUUCUAAUAAUAUAAGGGGCAUAAUGUAUUAUUUGGCACUAUGCAGUACUUGGCAUGAGCUAUUUUUGGCAUGGACCAUUAGUUGGCACGAUGCAUUGUUGGCACGAUGCAUUAGUUGGCACAGAUAUGAUUUGGCAUAAAACAUUAGUUGGCA
rnacentral:lncRNA from 1 species